rnacentral:rRNA from 1 species
UACGUAGGGUGCAAGCGUUAAUCGGAAUUACUGGGCGUAAAGCGUGCGCAGGCGGUUGUGCAAGCCAGAUGUGAAAUCCCCGGGCUCAACCUGGGAACUGCAUUUGUGACUGCAUAGCUGGAGUGCGGCAGAGGGGGAUGGAAUUCCGCGUGUAGCAGUGAAAUGCGUAGAUAUGCGGAGGAACACCGAUGGCGAAGGCAAUCCCCUGGGCCUGCACUGACGCUCAUGCACGAAAGCGUGGGGAGCAAACAGG